UACAGAGGGUGCGAGCGUUGUCCGGAUUUAUUGGGCGUAAAGGGCGCGUAGGCGGAUGGCACAGUCAGAUGUGAAAUUCCCGGGCUUAACCUGGGGGCUGCAUUUGAUACGUGUUGUCUUGAGUUCGGAAGAGGGUCGUGGAAUUCCCAGUGUAGAGGUGAAAUUCGUAGAUAUUGGGAAGAACACCGGUGGCGAAGGCGGCGACCUGGUCCGACACUGACGCUGAGGCGCGAAAGCGUGGGGAGCAAACAGG
rnacentral:rRNA from 1 species